AAGGAAAGGAAAGGAAAGGAAAGGGAAGGGUUUCAGGAAGAGAAGUGGAGAAGGUGGAAGCACGCCGAAUGCAGCUGCAAGAAUAACAAGUAGUGAAGAGGGAAAGAGGGAAGAUAAAAAAAAUUCCCCUUGGAACAACCAAUACUUUUGCAAAAAAAGUAGAAUUAAUGAAUUAAAUUACACAUUUGCCCAUAACAAAUGUUGUACAUAAAAGAAACAAAAGGAUAUUACUGUAAUUUCAACAUUGCUUGGGAUUAAGGCUUAGUUGUUGUAUGUUUUAUUAAUUAAAUAUAUAAAUUUAAAUGGGUUCGGGUGGUAUUUGGACAAUGAUAAAUUGGAUUUGGGAAUCAGAUUUGGGUUCGAUAGGUUGAUUUUCACUACUAUCCUACGCGUUGGCAUCUCUACUUGCAACAAAGUUACUGCAGAACAGUUCAUUGUAUUCUCUGCAUUUAUUUGAAUGAGUUUUUCACUGUGCCUUUUUUUUUUUUUUUUUUUU
rnacentral:misc_RNA from 1 species